rnacentral:tRNA from 1 species
GGAGAUGUAGCUCAGAGGUAUAGAACAUGCUUUGAAUAUAAAAGGCACUGGGUUUGAUUCCCAGCUUCUUCU